rnacentral:rRNA from 1 species
AGUGAACGCUGGCGGCGUGCCUAAUACAUGCAAGUCGAACGGUAACAGGAAGUAGCUUGCUCCUUUGCUGAUUAGUGGCGCACGGGUGAGUAAUGCAUAGGUCAUGUGCCCCAUAGUCUGGGAUAGCCACUGGAAACGGUGAUUAAUACUGGAUACUCCCGAGAGGGGAAAGUUUUUCGCUAUGGGAUCAGCCUAUGUCCUAUCAGCUUGUUGGUGAGGUAAUGGCUCACCAAGGCUAUGACGGGUAUCCGGCCUGAGAGGGUGAACGGACACACUGGAACUGAGACACAGUCCAGACUCCUACGGGAGGCAGCAGUAGGGAAUAUUGCUCAAUGGGGGAAACCCUGAAGCAGCAACGCCGCGUGGAGGAUGAAGGUCUUCGGAUUGUAAACUCCUUUUCUAAGAGAAGAUUAUGACGGUAUCUUAGGAAUAAGCACCGGCUAACUCCGUG